GAAUCUUCCGCAAUGGACGAAAGUCUGACGGAGCAACGCCGCGUGAGUGAUGAAGGUUCUCGGAUCGUAAAGCUCUGUUGCCAGGGAAGAACGCUUGGGAGAGUAACUGCUCUCAAGGUGACGGUACCUGAGAAGAAAGCCCCGGCUAACUACGUGCCAGCAGCCGCGGUAAUACGUAGGGGGCAAGCGUUGUCCGGAAUUAUUGGGCGUAAAGCGCGCGCAGGCGGUUGAUUAAGUCUGGUGUUUAAGGCUAGGGCUCAACCCUGGUUCGCACUGGAAACUGGUGAACUUGAGUGCAGAAGAGGAAAGUGGAAUUCCACGUGUAGCGGUGAAAUGCGUAGAGAUGUGGAGGAACACCAGUGGCGAAGGCGACUUUCUGGGCUGUAACUGACGCUGAGGCGCGAAAGCGUGGGGAGCAAAC
rnacentral:rRNA from 1 species